GACGAACGCUGGCGGCGUGCUUAACACAUGCAAGUCGAACGGAAAGGCCCUGCUUUUGUGGGGUGCUCGAGUGGCGAACGGGUGAGUAACACGUGAGUAACCUGUCCUUGACUUUGGGAUAACUUCAGGAAACUGGGGCUAAUACCGGAUAGGAGCUCCUGCUGCAUGGUGGGGGUUGGAAAGAUUCGGCGGUUGGGGAUGGACUCGCGGCUUAUCAGCUUGUUGGUGGGGUAGUGGCUUACCAAGGCUUUGACGGGUAGCCGACCUGAGAGGGGGACCGGCGACAAUGGGACUGAGAUACGGCCCAGACUCCUACGGGCGGCAGCAGUGGGGAAUAUUGCACAAUGGGCGGAAGCCUGAUGCAGCAACGCCGCGUGCGGGAUGACGGCCUUCGGGUUGUAAACCGCUUUCGCCUGUGACGAAGCGUGAGUGACGGUAAUGGGUAAAGAAGCACCGGCUAACUACGUG
rnacentral:rRNA from 1 species